AUAAGAGAAAAAUGUUAACCAUAUUAAAUAAAAUAAGUUGCUGCUGAAACAUGGAAAGAAAAGAUCCAUCGAAAUUUGCAGAACAUGUAUGAAAAAGGAUGGCCAAGACCCGGUGCCUGAACUCGUGACAGAGUAUAGACGCAUUAAAACGAACGUUAAAUGAUGUUGAUGAAAAAGAUAAUAAAUACAUAAGUGGGAUGGAUGAGUCAUUAACGAAUAAAGGAUGUUAUCAGCUAAUCAUUUUCACGGUAACACAAUAUAGAUGAUGAACACUCUGUUCUUUCGUCGAAAAAAGGGAUGUUGAAUGCAUGGCCUUUGAUCUAGUUUUUUGAUGUUAGCCAAAAUCGUUGUCGCACAAUAAGACCAAUGGAAACAUCCGGUUUAAAACCAUCAGUAUUACUUUCAAACAAAAACUAAAGAGAGAAGUCAUUGAUAAACGCUCGAUUAGAAGGCAUUAAUGGCGCACUUGAGUAGCCACUUGACUCAUGAUUAAGUUCAGGGCUGUCCCUAAAACAUGUUACCGACAUUAAAUCAUCGAGUGAUGAUUGAAAUGAAUGCUGAUCAAACAAAGGCUCCGAGAGCAAUUGACUUGAAGGAUUCCACGGAUCUGAUCCAUCGAAAGAGGGUGUUAAAUCAGGGACAUAAAGAAGUGACUUUACAUGUUCGCGAUGUUUUUGUAAAGAAAGCGUAGGACUUGAAGGUGCACAUUUUGAAUAAUUGAUGUAACUUGAAGGAGAAUUAAUUUGUGUUGAACAAAAAGCGCCGGGAGCAGAACAAGAGGUAUCUGUACGACCGUACGUUGGGCGUGUAUAUUCAUAAAAACGGGAUGAUGGACGUAGUGGUAUGGGUUCCCUACGAUAAUAUGGCAUGGAAUGAGGAUCUCGAGAUGAAACAUAAGAUGAAACCAUGGAAGAUUGUUGAGAAACCAAAAAAUCUGCCUGUAGAACAUCCUCUUCUUCAUUGGCAGAAUACGGAAGACUGUUAUGGCUAUUAGAGCGAAAGGAAGUCCUUAAAUAACCAGGAUCUGCAUCAGAAUACCCAGUAUUUAAUGCCAUAUUUCUACAAGCUGGAACUUCAUAUAGACGAGAAUCGUUGACGUUUUCAUAAAGGCUAGACUCAUGGGCAUCUAUAGUAGGAAGAUCUUCUUGAGUUUCAGCAUUUGGUUUAGGUACAUUUUCUGAACUUGAUGAGUUUGAUUGAACAUUAGAAGGGGGAAGAGGGGGUUUAACAAUAUUUGAGUUUAAACUACUAUCUUGAUUUGAUGGUUGACUUGCAUCGUUUGAGACUUCGGCAGCAACAUUUGAAGACGAGCCAGAAGUUGAUGUUGAAGAGUUAAAAGAGUUUAAUCGACUUCGCUUACGAGCUAAUGGUAUCUCUCGCGUCGUCAACGGUUUGAUUUCAUGACAUUUGCUUGAAGGUCGCUUUUUACUGUUUGAGUCAGUUGAGUGCGAACGAUGUAAGCGAACGCUAACAAAGUUC